CNGGUUACCUUGUUACGACUUCACCCCAGUCAUGAAACACAAAGUGGUAAUCGUCCUCCCGAAGGUUAGACUAACUACUUCUUUUGCAUCCCACUCCCAUGGUGUGACGGGCGGUGUGUACAAGGCCCGGGAACGUAUUCACCGCAGUAUUCUGACCUGCGAUUACUAGCGAUUCCGACUUCAUGGAGUCGAGUUGCAGACUCCAAUCCGGACUACGACAUUCUUUAAAGGGUCCGCUCCACAUCACUGUCUCGCUUCCCUCUGUAAAUGCCAUUGUUACACGUGUGUA
rnacentral:rRNA from 1 species